rnacentral:rRNA from 1 species
GACGAACGCUGGCGGCGUGCUUAACACAUGCAAGUCGAACGGAAAGGCCCCUUUGGGGGUACUCGAGUGGCGAACGGGUGAGUAACACGUGAGUAACCUGCCCUUGACUUCGGGAUAACUUCAGGAAACUGGGGCUAAUACCGGAUAGGAAUCCUUGCUGCAUGGUGGGGGUUGGAAAGCUUCGGCGGUUUUGGAUGGACUCGCGGCUUAUCAGCUUGUUGGUGGGGUAGUGGCUUACCAAGGCUUUGACGGGUAGCCGGCCUGAGAGGGCGACCGGCCACAUUGGGACUGAGAUACGGCCCAGACUCCUACGGGAGGCAGCAGUGGGGAAUAUUGCACAAUGGGCGGAAGCCUGAUGCAGAAACGCCGCGUGCGGGAUGACGGCCUUCGGGUUGUAAACCGCUUUCAGCAGGGGCGAAGCUUGUGGUGACGGUACCUGCAGAAGAAGCACCGGCUAACUACGUG